UACGUGGGGGGCAAGCGUUGUUCGGAAUUACUGGGCGUAAAGGGCUCGUAGGUGGCCAACUAAGUCAGACGUGAAAUCCCUCGGCUUAACCGGGGAACUGCGUCUGAUACUGGAUGGCUUGAGUUUGGGAGAGGAAUGCGGAAUUCCAGGUGUAGCGGUGAAAUGCGUAGAUAUCUGGAGGAACACCGGUGGCGAAGGCGGCAUUCUGGACCAAUACUGACGCUGAGGAGCGAAAGCCAGGGGAGCAAACGGG
rnacentral:rRNA from 1 species